UUGAAACACCAGUUCCCAUUUGAUUGCCAAAGUUAAGCAACAUUAAGCCUGCUCAGUACCUAGAUGGGUGAAUGCUUUGGAAUGUAAGUGGUGUA